rnacentral:rRNA from 1 species
AACGCUAGCUACAGGCUUAACACAUGCAAGUCGAGGGGCAGCAUUUUUCUAGCAAUAGAAGAGAUGGCGACCGGCGCACGGGUGAGUAACACGUAUCCAACCUGCCGAUAACUCCGGAAUAGCCUUUCGAAAGAAAGAUUAAUACCGGAUGGCAUACGAAUAUCGCAUGAUAUUUUUAUUAAAGAAUUUCGGUUAUAGAUGGGCAUGCGUUCCAUUAGGUAGUUGGUGAGGUAACGGCUCACCAAGCCGACGAUGGAUAGGGGAACUGAGAGGUUGGUCCCCCACACUGGUACUGAGACACGGACCAGACUCCUACGGGAGGCAGCAGUGAGGAAUAUUGGUCAAUGGGCGAGAGCCUGAACCAGCCAAGUCGCGUGAAGGAAGAAGGAUCUAUGGUUCGUAAACUUCUUUUGCAGGGGAAUAAAGUGCAGGACGUGUCCUGUUUUGUAUGUACCCUGAGAAUAAGGAUCGGCUAACUCCGUGCCAGCAGCCGCGGUAAUACGGAGGAUCCGAGCGUUAUCCGGAUUUAUUGGGUUUAAAGGGUGCGUAGGUGGUUUGAUAAGUCAGCGGUGAAAGUUUGCAGCUUAACUGUAAAAAUGCCGUUGAAACUGUCGGACUUGAGUGUAAAUGAGGUAGGCGGAAUGCGUGGUGUAGCGGUGAAAUGCAUAGAUAUCACGAAGAACUCCGAUUG